AAGUCGUAACAAGGUUUCCGUAGGUGAACCUGCGGAAGGAUCAUUACUGAGCUCCCGCCCCCUUAGGGGUGGACCUCUCGCCCGUGCGUCUGAUUACUUUGUUGCUUUGGUGGGCCCGCUGGGUGUCCCGGCCGCCGGCAGUCGCUGGCCCGUCGCCCACCAGAGGCCUAAAACACUUGCAUUUUAGUGGCACGUCUGAGUCUAUCUUAUAAUAAGCCAAAACUUUCAACAACGGAUCUCUUGGUUCUG
rnacentral:misc_RNA from 1 species